AGCAGGAAAGCAGGGGACCGCAAGGCCUUGCGCUCUUUGAGCGGCCGAUGUCAGAUUAGCUAGUUGGUGAGGUAAAGGCUUACCAAGGCGACGAUCUGUAGCGGGUCUGAGAGGAUGAUCCGCCACACUGGAACUGAGACACAGUCCAGACUCCUACGGGAGGCAGCAGUGGGGAAUUUUGGACAAUGGGGGCAACCCUGAUCCAGCCAUGCCGCGUGAGUGAAGAAGGCCUUCGGGUUGUAAAGCUCUUUCGGCCGGGAGAAAUCGCAUGGGCCAAUACCCUGUGUGGAUGACGGUACCGGAAUAAGAAGCACCGGCUAACUACGUGCCAGCAGCCGCGGUAAUACGUAGGGUGCGAGCGUUAAUCGGAAUUACUGGGCGUAAAGCGUGCGCAGGCGUUUUGUAAGACAGGCGUGAAAUCCCCGGGCUUAACCUGGGAACUGCGUUUGUGACUGCAAGGCUAGAGUACGGCAGAGGGGGGUGGAAUUCCACGUGUAGCAGUGAAAUGCGUAGAGAUGUGGAGGAACACCAAUGGCGAAGGCAGCCCCCUGGGUCGAUACUGACGCUCAUGCACGAAAGCGUGGGUAGCAAACAGGAUUAGAUACCCUGGUAGUCCACGCCCUAAACUAUGUCAACUAGGUGUUGGGUGGGUAAAACCAUUUAGUAUCGUAGCUAACGCGUGAAGUUGACCGCCUGGGGAGUACGGCCGCAAGGUUAAAACUCAAAGGAAUUGACGGGGACCCGCACAAGCGGUGGAUGAUGUGGAUUAAUUCGAUGCAACGCGAAAAACCUUACCUACCCUUGACAUUCCAGGAACUUGCCAGAGAUGGCUUGGUGCCCGAAAGGGAGCCUGGACACAGGUGCUGCAUGGCUGUCGUCAGCUCGUGUCGUGAGAUGUUGGGUUAAGUCCCGCAACGAGCGCAACCCUUGUCGUUAAUUGCCAUCAUCUAGUUGGGCACUUUAACGAGACUGCCGGUGACAAACCGGAGGAAGGUGGGGAUGACGUCAAGUCCUCAUGGCCCUUAUGGGUAGGGCUUCACACGUCAUACAAUGGUUGGUACAAAGGGUUGCCAAGCCGCGAGGCGGAGCCAAUCCCAGAAAGCCGAUCGUAGUCCGGAUUGCAGGCUGCAACUCGCCUGCAUGAAGUCGGAAUCGCUAGUAAUCGUGGAUCAGCAUGUCACGGUGAAUACGUUCCCGGGUCUUGUACACACCGCCCGUCACACCAUGGGAGCGGGUUCCGCCAGAAGUAGGUAGCCUAACCGCAAGGGGGGCGCUUACCACGGCGGGGUUCGUGACUGGGGUGAAGUCGUAACAAGGUA
rnacentral:rRNA from 1 species